GUGCUCACUUAGGCAGCACAUAUACUAGAAUAGAAACGAUGCAGAGAUUAGCAUGGCCCCUGUGUAAGGAUGACACGCAAAUUAGUGAAGCGUUCCAUAUUUUU
ensembl:snRNA U6 U6 spliceosomal RNA